AUGAACGCUGGCGGCGUGCCUAAUACAUGCAAGUCGAGCGAACAGACGAGGAGCUUGCUCCUCUGACGUUAGCGGCGGACGGGUGAGUAACACGUGGAUAACCUACCCAUAAGACUGGGAUAACUUCGGGAAACCGGAGCUAAUACCGGAUAAUAUAUUGAACCGCAUGGUUCAAUAGUGAAAGACGGUUUUGCUGUCACUUAUAGAUGGAUCCGCGCCGCAUUAGCUAGUUGGUAAGGUAACGGCUUACCAAGGCAACGAUGCGUAGCCGACCUGAGAGGGUGAUCGGCCACACUGGAACUGAGACACGGUCCAGACUCCUACGGGAGGCAGCAGUAGGGAAUCUUCCGCAAUGGGCGAAAGCCUGACGGAGCAACGCCGCGUGAGUGAUGAAGGUCUUCGGAUCGUAAAACUCUGUUAUUAGGGAAGAACAAAUGUGUAAGUAACUAUGCACGUCUUGACGGUACCUAAUCAGAAAGCCACGGCUAACUACGUG
rnacentral:rRNA from 1 species